UUAAAUUGAAGAGUUUGAUCAUGGCUCAGAUUGAACGCUGGCGGCAGGCCUAACACAUGCAAGUCGAACGGUAACAGGAAGCAGCUUGCUGCUUCGCUGACGAGUGGCGGACGGGUGAGUAAUGUCUGGGA
rnacentral:rRNA from 4 species